rnacentral:snRNA from 1 species
GGAUGUGAGGGUGAUCUAGCUGCAACAUCUGUCACCUCACUGAUCACCAGGGUUGCCUCAGCUGAUCUGGCUGGCUAGGUGGGUGUCCCCUUCCUCCUUCACUGCAACAUGUGCAUCCCUCCUGAAGCUGGACAGUCAAAGAGGAUGGCCACCCCCCAUGGAGAAGAACCAUUUCCUUGGUCAAGGGUAUAUGAGUAGGUGUGCUCCCUGCUAGAGCCUCCAAACAGGCUCUCAAGAGGAGGAAAUAUUUAUUGAGAAAGAUAGCUCCUGAGAGGCAGGAGAGGACCUAAAAAUGGGUUGUGAUUGAGCCCCACUUU